GACGAACGCUGGCGGCGUGCCUAAUACAUGCAAGUAGAACGCACAGUUUAUACCGUAGCUUGCUACACCAUAGACUGUGAGUUGCGAACGGGUGAGUAACGCGUAGGUAACCUGCCUGGUAGCGGGGGAUAACUGUUGGAAACGAUAGCUAAUACCGCAUAAUAUUAAUUAUUGCAUGAUAAUUAAUUGAAAGGUGCAAUUGCACCACUACCAGAUGGACCUGCGUUGUAUUAGCUCGUAGGUGAGGUAACGGCUCACCUAGGCGACGAUACAUAGCCGACCUGAGAGGGUGAUCGGCCACACUGGACUGAGACACGGCCCAGACUCCUACGGGAGGCAGCAGUAGGGAAUCUUCGGCAAUGGACGAAAGUCUGACCGAGCAACGCCGCGUGAGUGAAGAAGGUUUUCGGAUCGUAAAGCUCUGUUGUAAGAGAAGAACGGGUGUGAGAGUGGAAAGUUCACACUGUGACGGUAUCUUACCAGAAAGGGACGGCUAACUACGUGC
rnacentral:rRNA from 1 species